rnacentral:rRNA from 1 species
GGUACCUGAGGAAUCAGCAUCGGCUAACUCCGUGCCAGCAACCACGGUAAGACGGAGGAUGCAAGCGUUAUCCGGAAUUACUGGCUUUAAAGGGUGCGUAGGCGGCUUAUUAAGUCUGUGGUGAAAGCCUGCAGCUUAACUGUGGAAGUGCCGUUGAUACUGAUNAGCUUGAGUACGGUAGAGGUAAACGGAAUUCCUGGUGUAGCGGUGAAAUGCAUAGAUAUUAUGGAGAACACCAAUGGCGAAGGCAGCUUACUGGGCCGUUACUGACGCUGAGGGACGAAAGCGUGGGGAGCGAACAGGAUUAGAUACCCUGGUAGUCCUCGCUGUAAACGAUGNUUACUCGGUGUUGGAUG